CACACCCGUACGUUUGGCCCACCUGGACGGGUGGUGGCCGGCCGCCGCUGCCCUGCCCUGCGCAGCCUCGAUCUGUCUGUCGGCCCGGCGUUCGCGCCUGGGUGUGUGGACGUCGACUGGCCCGUGUUCCCAGCCUGCCGGCCAGACGGACCCGGUCGUCGUGGCAAUCAUUCCGAGAGGCUCCGGCCGCGAAUCCUGCCGGUCCGCCGGACAAGACCAACCUGUUCUUCUUACGCUUGUCUCAAGUUUGUUUGUCCUGUCAUCUGGGACUGGGGGUACAUGCUGUCAAGCUGACCAAUUUCGCCUGCCUGAACUCCCCACUGCCCCCAUUUCUUCUCUGCCAUGAUGCGUGGGCUCAGGAGGAUGUUCGUGGCGCACAACGGCAAAAGACGGGCACACAGGGAUGAGCAGGGCACUGCCUUUGCCUCUACAUCUACAUCUGUCAGCCCAAACAUAUGAGCUGCUAGGUAUCAUGUUCUUUUUUCCAUGUUUAUCUAUCCCUCACCUAUGUGGAUAUUGUGCCAGUGUUUGUGCAGCUGGUUAUCAGCGAGAUCGACUCGUCGGCCACUACCUUGCUGCAGGCCGUGAAGCUGCUCGCGCUGCACCUCACUGGAGACAAGGACGCUGGUAAAAUUAGUGGAACAACUUGGACCGAGGAAGUGGUCUUACAUAGCACAACUGCUGCCAGCAAGAGUGGGGAAGCGAUACAGAGAAAGAUGGCACAACCAUUUGAGGCCAAACAUCAAGUAAUAUUUGGAAUGGUCAUAAGUCAAACUAAACUUCCCCAGCGACAGCGAUUCAACGAACAAGAACCAAGCCAACAGUUAUGCAGUAUAGAAAUCUACUCCCAGUCCCCGGGAGUUUGAUUAGAAAUCAUGAAUGUUCAGUACCUAGCUCAGUUUUUAUUAGCAGUGUAGUGAGACCAAGAGCAUGAGGCUUCAAAGAGGAAAUUUGUUUAAGGCAUAAUAGGUUAUAUUCUUGUUGUCUACUAACAUCAGAUGCAUUCGUUGAUGUCUUGAUGAGCUGUAGCAGGGUACCAACUUAUAGUGCCUCCUGUACCGAUCAUCGUCAAGGGAGUGCUAUAGGAGGAGGUUAAGGUGAGUUUUGUCACGACUAACGGUGAGCCCAUGACUGCGGUCGCGUCGAAGCUGGUCUGGUGGAACAUCGUGGAGCAGAUGACGAUGACGCCGACAUCCUGCGCCUCUGCUAUGACGCUGCCGACCAGGACGCGACCCCUCCGUCGUGCGCGCUCUACAAGUCUGGAUCCAUCAUUGUGCUCAGCAGGACUGACUUCCUUAGGCCAGACAUGGUAGUUCCUCUACAAGGAUGAUUCAGGCCAAAUAGAAGUCGCGACAGGGAGGCUGACGUGGCAGCGAAGAACAACAUAAGUCCUAGAGUAAAAUUUUGAUUGUGUCGUGGGCGAUGGCGUCUAGCAGAACUGCAGAAGGGCGGCAUCUAGCAGAAGGUAAGGCGAUGUCUGAAUGGCGGAUGGGCCUGCAAGAGAUUUGCUGGGCUGGCGUAACACAGUUUGGGGGAACCAAAAUUGUCCCUGUUUGUAGCUACAAAAUAGGAAUUUUUUUGGGGCUAUGAAAAGUUGGGGAAGGUUUGAGAGCCCUGUUGGAGGCUUGAAUUUUCAUGUUCCCUUUAAUUCUAGGUUAGGGGGCAUUUUAAGAGACCUCUUGGAGAUGCUCUUAGGCUACAUUAGCAGCGUCCAUAAAGGCCUUAUUUGUUUCAUCCCGAAACCAGGAUUGAGGAGGAUUUUGACUUAUAACGGAUUUAACCCCCCUCAAUUAUUAUGGGUUUGAAACAAAAUGAAUAGGGCCUAAAUAAAAAACUUCCUGAUAUGCUUGUUAUUGUUUGACUACAUUUAGCACCACCUAUUUUGAUUUUUAUUGCUAUCAUUUUAAAGGUAUGUGUAAACAUCCACUUUUAGUGAUGCUAAGAAAAAAUUGGUCCUAGAGUAACAUUGUAUUGGUUGUUGACAAAAAAUGUGAGAAAUUGAUGUCAAUAAUAAUAUAUGUGUUGUUUGU